rnacentral:lncRNA from 1 species
CUUGGGGAUAGAACCCAGGGAGGAAUAAAGAAACCCACUUUUCUACAGUCACAUAGAAAGUCAUAAAUAGCAGCAAAAUUGAAUUUCUAAGGCACCAGGAGAAUGAGGAGAAGCUUGUGGCUGACUUGAAUCCCUCAGAUGAUUUUGUUUUAUGAAGGAUGGGAUGAAAAUGUCAGAGUACACGGAAAACAUCUUAGUUCUUCCCAUCUCCAGUGGGAUCAUUCAAAUCCUGCCCCAGGUCCUGUUGAGCUAGUGCUGAUGCCCCAGGAAGAGGAGCAAAGAUCUACAUCUCCAAACAUAAUCUCCAUAUCAUGGAACAAAACUGGCCAGGAGUUUGAAUUUCUGGG